rnacentral:lncRNA from 1 species
UGUUGAGCUAGCUUUUUGGAUAGAUGUCACAAGAUUAUGGUUAAAUCCGUUCGUGCAAUGUUGCAUGAACAUCAAGCUGUGUUGGUCUGGUGAGUAUUUCUCAUUGCAAUUUAGUAAUGCUAAUUUGUUGUUUAUAUCCUUAUCUCCAUAUUUUAUUGACCCUUGUCUUCUUCACUCUCUCCUAUAAUCAAAAGAUUUGUUGCAUGGCUAUCAGUAUCUUACGAUACAUACGAGUCUUAUCGUAUCGCGAUUCAAUACUAAAUUGAACCUAAUCAACACAAAUCUCUUGUGUGUAUAUAAUUGGACAUGAAUCUUAUCUUAAAUUCUAUUUCUUAAUUACUUUCUUUGUGAAAUGUACAAUUGAGCAAAUUAUUAGAUACAUGAGCAACUCUUGCUUUCUCUCUUAUAGGACAUUACGUAAUAUCAAUUUGAUUAACUCUUUCUUUACUCAUGGAAAAUAUCGGUGUUGCCAAAUAACUGCUAUAGCUGCACUAUAAGCCUAUAACACUAGCAUAGCGAAAUUUUAAUGAACCGCUAUUUUGCAAUUGACAGUGCUAGAAGAUAUGAUAAUUAUUACAAAUGUUGUUGGGCUAAAUUGCAGUUCCGGUUGUGACUUGUGGUUACACUGUGACCCUUAAUACUAU